GACAGAGGGUGCAACGUUGUUCGGAAUUACUGGGCGUAAAGCGCGUGUAGGCGGCCCUGCAAGUCGGAUGUGAAAUCCCACGGCUCAACCGUGGAAGUGCAUUCGAAACUGCAGGGCUAGAGUCCUGGAGAGGAAGGUGGAAUGCUUGGUGUAGAGGUGAAAUUCGUAGAUAUCAAGCGGAACACCGGUGGCGAAGGCGGCCUUCUGGACAGUGACUGACGCUGAGACGGCGAAAGCGUGGGGAGCAAACAGGG
rnacentral:rRNA from 1 species